UACGUAGGGUGCAAGCGUUGUCCGGAAUUAUUGGGCGUAAAGAGCUCGUAGGUGGCCUGUCGCGUCGGCUGUGAAAACUCGGGGCUCAACUCCGAGCUUGCAGUCGAUACGGGCAUCACUUGAGUUCGGCAGGGGAGACUGGAAUUCCUGGUGUAGCGGUGAAAUGCGCAGAUAUCAGGAGGAACACCGGUGGCGAAGGCGGGUCUCUGGGCCGAUACUGACGCUGAGGAGCGAAAGCAUGGGUAGCGAACAGG
rnacentral:rRNA from 1 species